UACAGAGGGGGCAAGCGUUGUUCGGAAUUACUGGGCGUAAAGGGCGCGUAGGCGGCCUUCUAAGUCAGACGUGAAAUCCCCGGGCUCAACCCGGGAACUGCGUCUGAUACUGGAAGGCUUGAAUCCGGGAGAGGGAUGUGGAAUUCCAGGUGUAGCGGUGAAAUGCGUAGAUAUCUGGAGGAAUACCGGUGGCGAAGGCGGCAUCCUGGACCGACAUUGACGCUGAUGAGCGAAAGCUAGGGGAGCAAACGGG
rnacentral:rRNA from 1 species